rnacentral:rRNA from 1 species
AACGAACGCUGGCGGCAUGCCUAACACAUGCAAGUCGAACGAGAACAUCGGGACUAGUGGCGCACGGGUGCGUAACGCGUGGGAACCUGCCCUUAGGGUCGGAAUAACUCCCCGAAAGGGGUGCUAAUACGGGAUAAGGUCUACGGACCAAAGAUUUAUCGCAUUUGGAUGGGCCCGCGUUGGAUUAGCUAGUUGGUAGGGUAAAAGCCGACCAAGGCGACAAUCCAUAGCUGGUCUCAGAGGCUGAUCAGCCACACUGGGACUGGGACACGGCCCAGACUCCUACGGGAUGCAGCAGUGGGGAAUAUUGCACCAUGGGCGGAGGCCUGAUCCUGCUAUGCCGCGUGAGUGAUGAAGGCCUUAGGGUUGUAAAGCUCUUUUACCCGUGAUGAUAAUGACAGUACCGAGAGAAUAAGCUCCGGCUAACUCCGUG